GACGAACGCUGGCGGCGUGCUUAACACAUGCAAGUCGAGCGGUAAGGCCCUUUCGGGGGUACACGAGCGGCGAACGGGUGAGUAACACGUGGGUGACCUGCCCUCAGCUCUGGGAUAAGCCUGGGAAACCGGGUCUAAUACUGGAUAUGACUCCAUGACACAUGUUGUGGGGUGGAAAGCCUUGUGCGGCUGAGGAUGGGCCCGCGGCCUAUCAGCUUGUUGGUGGGGUGANGGCCUACCAAGGCGACGACGGGUAGCCGGCCUGAGAGGGCGACCGGCCACACUGGGACUGAGACACGGCCCAGACUCCUACGGGAGGCAGCAGUGGGGAAUCUUGCGCAAUGGGCGAAAGCCUGACGCAGCGACGCCGCGUGAGGGAUGACGGCCU
rnacentral:rRNA from 1 species